GACGAACGCUGGCGGCGCGCCUAACACAUGCAAGUCGAGCGGAGAUAUUUAAAGGAAGUUUUCGGAUGGAAUUUGAGUAUUUUAGCGGCGGACGGGUGAGUAACGCGUGAGUGACCUGCCUUCCACAGGGGGAUAACGUACCGAAAGGUACACUAAUACCGCAUGAGACCACAGCACUGCCUGGUGCAGGGGUCAAAGGAGCAAUCCGGUGGAAGAUGGACUCGCGUCCGAUUAGAUAGUUGGUGGGGUAACGGCCUACCAAGUCAGCGAUCGGUAGCCGACCUGAGAGGGUGAUCGGCCACAUUGGAACUGAGAGACGGUCCAAACUCCUACGGGAGGCAGCAGUGGGGAAUAUUGGGCAAUGGGGGAAACCCUGACCCAGCGACGCCGCGUGAGGGAAGAAGGUUUUCGGAUUGUAAACCUCUGUUCUUGGUGAAGAGGGAAAGACGGUAGCCAAGGAGGAAGCCCCGGCUAACUACGUGCCAGCAGCCGCCGUAA
rnacentral:rRNA from 1 species